UACAGAGGGUGCAAGCGUUAAUCGGAAUUACUGGGCGUAAAGCGCGCGUAGGUGGUUUGGUAAGUCGGAUGUGAAAUCCCCGGGCUCAACCUGGGAACUGCAUUCGAAACUGCCUGGCUAGAGUUUGAGAGAGGGAAGUGGAAUUCCUGGUGUAGCGGUGAAAUGCGCAGAUAUCAGGAGGAACACCGGUGGCGAAGGCGGAUCUCUGGGCCUUACCUGACGCUCAGGCGCGAAAGCUAGGGGAGCAAACAGG
rnacentral:rRNA from 1 species